rnacentral:lncRNA from 1 species
GGAAACUGAUGGACUAUUUGGGCUGGAGACUGGUUUCAAUAAUAGUGCCAGUGGGCUGCCAAGGAAGCCAUAUUAAGCUGUGAAAUACUGAGGGAAUGGAAGAGGAAGAUGCUUAGGAUUCACACUUGGACCAUUCACUGUUCGUAAAGUAACAAAUUCAGAAAGAGUAAAAAAGAGGAAAGAAAGAGGAAAAUAAAGGAGAAAUCAUGAAGGGCAAAAGAAUGAGAAGAGAUGAGAAGGGCACACAAUUAACAGAAGUUUUAAAUAAACUAGUUUAAGAAUUUUAAUGAUCCCAUCAUACAAAGGGAAGCAGCAGGUGUGGCAAAACCAGGGAAAGAAAAUCCAGUGCCACAUCUGUAAGAUCUGCCCAAAAAAU